rnacentral:rRNA from 1 species
AUUGAACGCUGGCGGCAUGCCUUACACAUGCAAGUCGAACGGCAGCGCGGACUUCGGUCUGGCGGCGAGUGGCGAACGGGUGAGUAAUACAUCGGAACGUACCCUGUUGUGGGGGAUAACUAGUCGAAAGAUUAGCUAAUACCGCAUACGACCUGAGGGUGAAAGUGGGGGACCGCAAGGCCUCACGCAGCAGGAGCGGCCGAUGUCUGAUUAGCUAGUUGGUGGGGUAAAGGCCCACCAAGGCGACGAUCAGUAGCUGUUCUGGGAGGACGAUCAGCCACACUGGGACUUAGACACGGCCGUGACUCCUACGGGAGGCAGCAGUGGGGAAUUUUGGACAAUGGGGGCAACCCUGAUCCAGCAAUGCCGCGUGUGUGAAGAAGGCCUUCGGGUUGUAAAGCACUUUUGUCCGGAAAGAAAUCGCGCUGGUUAAUACCUGGCGUGGAUGACGGUACCGGAAGAAUAAGCACCGGCUAACUACGUGCCAGCCGCCGCGGUAA